UAUUCAAUCAAAUAGAUAUUAAUGGUGGGCUAAAAGGAAACAUCCAAAACCGUAAAGCUAUCUAAAAAAAAAAUUCAACCAUUUUGUUCGCUACGUUGUGUCAUAUUCCUCUUAAAAAUAUUGAAAUAUUUGUCGAUAAAUUUGGUGAUAAUUUUUAUUAAUAUAGUGUAUUCAUCAUGUGUAGUAAAUCUGAUAACUAUAAUGAAGAUUUAUUUGAUUACAUUAGAGUAAGUGAAGAUGAGGAUGAUUCUAAUGCCGUGGAAAUUCCUUGUGAAAUGGAUGGCACUUUACUUUUGUCAACGCUUGUAGCGCAAUUCCCCGGAGCAUGUGGUUUAAAAUAUCGUCACCCUGAUAGUAAAUCUGUUCGAGGUAUUCGUUUAAGUGAUGGAAAGCUUCACCCCCCUAGUGAAGUUGGAUGGGGAAAACAUCUAUAUAUUUGCGUUUUUCCUAAAGAAAAUAAACGUAAAAUGGAGGACGUAUCUCCUGAAAAUUCAGCAGCAAAAACCAAGCGACUGGAAAAGAAACUUACGUGCUCUGAUUUAAUAUGCCUAGGUCUACCUUGGAAAUCAACUGAAGAGUCAAUAAAACAAUACUUUGAACAGUUUGGUGAAGUUGUAAUGGUUCAACUAAAAAAAGAUAAAAAUGGCACUUUUAAAGGCUUUGGAUUCAUUCGCUUUGCUACUUAUGCUUCACAAAUGAGAGCUCUUGCACAAAGACACAAUAUUGAUGGUCGUUGGGUGGAUGUACGUAUCCCAAAUUCCAAGGAAGGUGUGGUACCACAAAUGCCCUGCAAAGUUUUUGUGGGAAGAUGUACUGAAGAUAUGACUGCAGAUGACCUCCGUGAUUAUUUUUCAAAGUUUGGGGAAGUGACUGAUGUGUUUGUUCCUCGACCAUUUCGGGCGUUUGGUUUUGUUACAUUCCUAGAUCCUGAAGUUGCACAGAGUCUAUGUGGAGAGGAUCAUGUUAUUAAAGGAGCAUCUGUAUCAGUAUCUAGUGCUGCACCAAAGAUUAAAAGUAAAUCUAACCAAAACUGGAAAGAUGAUUCAUAUGGAUCUAAUAAUUGGGACGGAAAUAGAUCAAGUUCUUCUGGGGGACCAAAUAGCACCAGUGGGAGCAGUAAUAUUGACUCACUUAAUAUGCAAAAUCUUGGAAUCAAUCCAAAUGGAGGUCCACCAAAUAAUUUUAAUUUGCCUAUAAGUCUUGUUGCUGCAGCACUAAACCAAGCUGGUUGGGGUGGUUUUCUUGGUGGUCCAGGUAAUUCUGGUCCUAAUAAUUGGCAAGGUGGUCCACCCCAAGGCAAUAAUUCUGGAAAAAACUGGAAUAGCAACCAAAACUGGGGCCAAAAUGGCCCACCUCCAUCAUGGAAUCAAGGAGGUGGUAGUGGCCAAGGAUGGAAUGGAGGAGGCAAAAGUGGCAAUUGGAAUCAAGGAAAUUGGUCAAGUGGUCAAGGCAGUUGGAAUGGUAAUGGUGGUGGUGGUGGUAGCUCUGGCUCUGGCAACGGAUGGAAUAAUAAGCCACAGACAUGAGUGUGUCGACCUGUGUGUGUGUCAUGCAAGAUGUGACUGCUUCAUUCAAACAAUGAGGUGAACUGUAACCUGCCUGGUGCCUGGCUGCCUGUGCAAGUGGAUUGUACCUGAUGCUAGCUGCGAUCCAGGGUGAUAGCAAUGUGGAUGACAAUCAAGAAUGCUAUUAUGAAGCAGUGUGAAUAUGUAGUAAAGUGGUGCAUAGAAGGCUUACACACUGUAAUGAAUACAGUUCAUGAAAAGAAGUCAUAGGAGUGAUACAAAGAUAACAGGAUCUGGGUGCCUUCUUUUUUUUACAAUGGUCUAAAUUGUAAAGAAGAAUAGAGAGAGAGAGAGAGACACAUUAUAGAAAAAGGAAAAAAAGUGAUUAUGUUAUAAUUACUAUUAAUCUUGUGAGGGUGCCACCCUUUGGUAUCAAGAACUUCUAGGUCGCCUUCAUUGUACACAACCUUUAAUCUAGCUUACUGGAUGACAGCUAUAUAUACCCUUACAAGCAUGAACCAAGCAAGUGACAAACAUUUUUAGAAGAUCCUAACAUGAGUUUGAAACUCGGGAGGUUGGGAUUAGGAUUCCAUCUUUAGACUUCUGGACCAUGAUCAAGCACUGAGAUGUCACCACUCUCAGUAUGAUUAUGAAGCAUAUUAAAUUGUUUUUUUGUAGUCUGGGCAAAGUAUAUAAAAAUAUAAUCUUUAGUGUUUUUUUUAAAUCA